AUACGUAGGGGGCGAGCGUUGUCCGGAAUUAUUGGGCGUAAAGAGUACGUAGGCGGUUCUGUAAGCGUGAGGUGAAAGCCCGGGGCUUAACCCCGGUAAGCCUUUCGAACUGCAGGACUUGAGUGCUGGAGGGGAAAGUGGAAUUCCUAGUGUAGCGGUGAAAUGCGUAGAUAUUAGGAGGAACACCAGUGGCGAAGGUGACUUUCUGGACAGUAACUGACGCUGAGGUACGAAAGCGUGGGGAGCAAACAGGAUUAGAUACCCUGGUAGUCCACGCUGUAAACGAUGAGCACUAGGUGUCGGGCUAGCAAUAGUUCGGUGCCGCAGUUAACGCAAUAAGUGCUCCGCCUGGGGAGUACGCACGCAAGUGUGAAACUCAAAUGAAUUGACGGGG
rnacentral:rRNA from 1 species